CUUGCCUGUCUAACUCGCUAGU
rnacentral:miRNA from 1 species